rnacentral:lncRNA from 1 species
ACCGGGAGUAUUUAAUCUGAAAGGAGGUAUAUGAUCAGAGGAUAAGAAGUGGUUAGAAUUCUAGAGAGAAGUUUUGAAGGUUUAGAGAGAAGGAGGAGAAAAUGGUGGUUUCUGGAAACUGAGUUUGAGGAAGAAGAGAGGUGUUGGUAUCGGAGGGGUAUGGUUCGAAGAGUAUAACGCAGCGGAAUUAAAACUUAGAGUAGCGUAUAAGCGUGUUCGGUCACAAUUAAAACGAAAUUGGUCUUUUUUUUCGAAAAACGAUUUUCUUUUAGAAAAUUUAUCAAACAGUUAAUAUGCGUAAAAUAAAAUGAGUGUAGGGAAUAGAAAAAUCCCACGAGUAUUUUUAUACUGGUUUGAUUCAACAGAAUCUACGUCCAGUCGUUAAUCACUGUNAAGAGUGAUUAACAGUUUCACUAAAAAUAUUUUUCUCAGAUUACAAUUAAGUGAAUGAAAAUCAGAUAGAUAAACCUUCCUUCGACGAGCGAACCGGAAGAAGACCACUCUACCAACUUGAAGAAAACCGCUCCGGUAAUCGACCAACGAUUCGCGAGCUUCUCCUUUCACAAGAC